rnacentral:rRNA from 1 species
UAGUCCACGCCGUAAACGAUGAGGACUGGAUGUUGGGAGGGUAGCCUCUCAGUGUCGCAGCUAACGCGUUAAGUCCUCCGCCUGGGGAGUACGCCGGCAACGGUAAAACUCAAAGGAAUUGACGGGGACCCGCACAAGCGGUGGAGCAUGUGGUUUAAUUCGAUGCAACGCGAAGAACCUUACCUGCCCUUGACAUCCUCGGAACUUGUCAGAGAUGACUUGGUGCCUUCGGGAACCGAGUGACAGGUGCUGCAUGGCUGUCGUCAGCUCGUGUCGUGAGAUGUUGGGUUAAGUCCCGCAACGAGCGCAACCCUUGUUCCUAGUUGCCAUCAUUUAGUUGGGCACUCUAGGGAGACCGCCGGUGACAAACCGGAGGAAGGUGGGGAUGACGUCAAGUCAUCAUGGGCCCUUAUGGGGCAGGGGCUACACACGUGCUACAAUGGGCCAGUACAGAGGGUU